rnacentral:rRNA from 1 species
GAUGAACGCUGGCAGAAUGCUUAACACAUGCAAGUCGACUUGAAUUUGGGUUUUUAACUUAGGUUUGGGUGGCGGACGGGUGAGUAACGCGUAAAGAACUUGCCUCACAGCUAGGGACAACAUUUGGAAACGAAUGCUAAUACCUAAUAUUAUGAUAAUAGGGCAUCCUAUAAUUAUGAAAGCUAUAAGAGCUGUGAGAGAGCUUUGCGUCCCAUUAGCUAGUUGGAGAAGUAACGGCUCACCAAGGCGAUGAUGAGUAGCCGGCCUGAGAGGGUGAUCGGCCACAAGGCGACGGAGACACGGAGCUUACUCCAACGGGAGGCAGCAGUGAGGAAUAUUGGACAAUGGACCGAGAGUCUGAUCCAGCAAUUCUGUGUGCACGAUGAAGUUUUUCGGAAUGUAAAGUGCUUUCAGUAGGGAAGAAACAAAUGACGGUACCAACAGAAGAAGCGACGGCGAAAUACG